rnacentral:tRNA from 1 species
GGAAAGGUGGCAGAGUGGUCGAAUGCUUCGGUUUUGAAAACCGGCGUACUUUCACGAGUACCGAGGGUUCGAAUCCCUCCCUUUCCG